rnacentral:rRNA from 1 species
UACGUAGGCAGCGAGCGUUGUUCGGAGUUAUUGGGCGUAAAGAGCUCGUAGGCGGUGUGUCGCGUCGGCCGUGAAAACCUGGGGCUUAACUCUGGGCGUGCGGUCGAUACGGGCAUCACUAGAGUUCGGCAGGGGAGACUGGAAUUCCUGGUGUAGCGGUGAAAUGCGCAGAUAUCAGGAGGAACACCGGUGGCGAAGGCGGGUCUCUGGGCCGAUACUGACGCUGAGGAGCGAAAGCAUGGGUAGCGAACAGG